rnacentral:lncRNA from 1 species
CAAACUUUGAAGUUGGAAGAGAAGGUUAGUGCAGUGGCAGCUCAGAAGCUGGUUCUAGAUUCAGAUACAGAAGUGAAACCUGUCGUGGUAGCAGAUGCUACUUGUGAGCAGUUUGAGGAUGACAGUACUGUGGAGACAGACUCUAAAAGUGACCAACUGCCAGCGAUGUCCUGUCCUUUUACCAAACCCAUCAAGGGCAACCAGAACCGCCACACGUAUGAUAUGGAAGGGCUAAUGGAACUGCUGAAUCGUGCACAGAGCUGCAGGGUCAAUGACCAGCGUGGGCUACUGUCCAAGGAGGAUCUAAUACUGCCCGAUUUCCUUCAGGUGCCUAAACAAGGUGGUGUCACCUGCACAAGCCAUCCCUCAUCCAGCCCUGAGAAUUGCACCCUCAAGGCAGAAGAGGCUGCCACCUCUCAGCGUCAAUCCCAGGUGCAGUCACAACCCCAGGUUUCUCCUUCACCACUACAAAUACCAACUUCGUCAUCGUCAGCUGCUGCUGGGAAAUCUGACCUGUGAUCUACUCCAUGAGAAACCCAGCCCACCCUAGGCCCCCAAUUUUAUGUUUUUUUGCCAUGAAGCCAGGCUUUUCCUGUUCGGUAUCUGUCGUAGUAACAUGAUCUCACAGACUUGUCUCCUUGGUCUAGGUUGAAGCCUGGCUAGACGCCAUCAUCUAGCUCUUGGGACUCUCAGGCGGUCUUCAGGAAUGGACAUGUAUGCUCCUAAUGUUCUGACCGACUUUCACUAACUGCCCAUGCUGGCUGGGCAGCAGAGUGCCAGUAUUACCUACUUGCUGUACCAAACUAUUGUACGGUGUUGCUCUAUGUCGUGAAACAACUGCCAUUAUGGCUGCUCCAGUGACAACUACAACCCCGUGGCUAGUGGUGAUGCUGCCUGUAUAUAGUUUGUAAUUUUCGGUCUCUGUAAAAUGUAAAAUACAC